CGUAGGGUGCGAGCGUUAAUCGGAAUUACUGGGCGUAAAGCGUGCGCAGGCGGUUUUGUAAGCCAGAUGUGAAAUCCCCGGGCUCAACCUGGGAAUGGCAUUUGGGACUGCAAGGCUCGAGUGCGGCAGAGGAGACUGGAAUUCCUGGUGUAGCAGUGAAAUGCGUAGAUAUCAGGAGGAAUACCGAUGGCGAAGGCAGGUCUCUGGGCUGACACUGACGCUCAUGCACGAAAGCGUGGGGAGCAAACAGGAUUAGAUACCCUGGUAGUCCACGCCCUAAACGAUGUCGACUGGUUGUUGGGGGUUUGACACUCUCAGUAACGAAGCUAACGCGUGAAGUCGACCGCCUGGGGAGUACGGCCGCAAGGUUA
rnacentral:rRNA from 1 species